AUAGCCGAUGCGGGUCAAAGCGUGAUACCCCUUCUUAUCAGCUUAAUAUCUGAUAUGGGUUGUAUUCGUACCUAGGAUAUUGAACUUACUUUUGCAAGUUGGCGGCGUGCAAAAUUGCAGCUUUGCCGAGCAGCUUUGCCGAGGGUCGGCCCGGUAUUGCGCAAUCUUAGGGAUCGGCCCUCGUAUU